UAAAAAGGGAAAAUUUUGAAGACACGGACUCAGGGAGAAUACCAUACGAGGAUGUGGAGUUAUACUGCCUCAAGCCAAGGCACUAGUGGAGGCAAGGACAGAAGCUUGGAAUGGAUCCUUCCCUAGGGCCUUCAGAGAGAACUUGGUCUGGCCAAUCCCUUGAUCUCAAGCUUCUAGAUCUUCAGAAUUCUGAGACAAUAAAUUCUGUUGUUUAACCAACUCAGUUUGUGAUACUUUGUUAUAGCAGCCCUAGGAAACUAAUACACACAUAGGAGCUUUUCCCUGCUUCAGCCUUAAAGACACAUGCCCUUUGUGCUCACAGUCCAUUGGUCAGAGGCAGUUCUGUGGCCCUACUGACCACAAAGGGACUGGGAAGAAUGCUUAGAAGAAGAUAAAUAGAUGUUGGGAGUCUGGAAGCAGCCAGAAGCUCUGCCCAGGUGAGCAGAGACAGCUGCCACCUGAGAGGGGCCCUAGCAUAAAUCACACGGACUCCAGGAAAAGGGCAGGUCGGCCAGAACAUCAGGACGCUCCCGGCUUUGAUCCAUUGACAACCUGCCGGGGAAAUGGGUUGUGUUUCCUUUUCCCUUGCCUGCAAAUCAGACACCUUAGAGCUGAAAACCCUGCCGCUGCCUCCUUCGCACAGAAAUAAAGGACAGCUCUGGACGCCGGCACGGAUUUAGAUCUGCCCCCUUCCGCCAGCCUCUCCAGGGCAGCCACCGCUGGGUGCUCCGCACUCUGGCCGGACCCGCUGCCCGGUGCCCUGAUGUAGGUGCUGGGUGCCGAAGCAUGGGUGCGCAUUCCUGAAUUGUUCUUCCCAGCGAAAUGGGGCAGAUGAACCCAGGCAGUCAGCUCUUCUGCCUCCUGAAAGCUCCCUAAAUUAACGACUGCUGAAGAACAUGUUAUGAAACACAGGCUAGAGGAAAUGUGGGAAACUAUGAAAGACGUCAGCGCAUCCUUGGAGGAUGGAGAGCAGAGGAAAGAAUGGCGACUGACACCCCCUCCACCCCAAACAGGGUAAAGUUACGGCUUCGGUGCCCGCAGAAAUGCACUGCGGAGAAGCAAG
rnacentral:lncRNA from 1 species